rnacentral:rRNA from 1 species
UGAACGCUGGCGGCAGGCCUAACACAUGCAAGUCGAACGGUAACAGGAAGAAGCUUGCUUCUUUGCUGACGAGUGGCGGACGGGUGAGUAAUGUCUGGGAAACUGCCUGAUGGAGGGGGAUAACUACUGGAAACGGUAGCUAAUACCGCAUAAUGUCGCAAGACCAAAGAGGGGGACCUUCGGGCCUCUUGCCAUCGGAUGUGCCCAGAUGGGAUUAGCUAGUAGGUGGGGUAACGGCUCACCUAGGCGACGAUCCCUAGCUGGUCUGAGAGGAUGACCAGCCACACUGGAACUGAGACACGGUCCAGACUCCUACGGGAGGCAGCAGUGGGGAAUAUUGCACAAUGGGCGCAAGCCUGAUGCAGCUAUGCCGCGUGUAUGAAGAAGGCCUUCGGGUUGUAAAGUACUUUCAGCGGGGAGGAAGGGAGUAAAGUUAAUACCUUUGCUCAUUGACGUUACCCGCAGAAGAAGCACCGGCUAACUCCGUG